AGAAAAUUGAAGUAGCUCAGGCAUAAAGUUCUCCCCUUAGCCCUUAUUUGUAGAAAGAGCCUAGGUUUUUCUUCGCCCUAUAUCUUUUAAUUUCUCUGUGGCUCUGCGUCUCUUACAGGUGAAACUAGGGUUUCUCACUGCCGCCUUCUUAUUUCUCUUCUCUAUUCUGUAUAUCUUCUUCUACAUGCGUCUUCAAUCAUUCUUAUUAUUUUUGUUUCUGAUCCGAAACAUGCAAUCUGAAUGAAACUUAAUUUAUAAAAUUGAUUUUUUUUAUCCUGCCUUUUUUUUGUGUAUUGAAUUUGAACUUAUAUUUGUCCAUUAAGUUUUUAAUACUGGAUCUGGUUCUUUGAUUUUUGGGGAUUUAUGGGGUUUGCGGGAAUCUAACUAGGGUUUAAGAAUUUUGGGUAAUUAUGUCUGGGUUUUUUUCUUUUGUUGAUUUUUGUCAGUUUCAUUAUCUAGGAUGUUGGCAUUGCGCUUCUGUUCAUACACGGUAUGAGUGUACGGGGUGAAGCGAUUUUAGCUGUUGGUAUGAUUAAGAAAAUACUUAAGGUUUGAUGAUUAUCGUGUAGCUUGAUUUCUUGUAAGGUUUAGAUCUAUUAUGAUCUAUGCUAACGUAAUUGUUUUUGGUGCUUGAUGGAAGCUUAAUUCCAUUUCUUCUUUUCUCUUUAAAUUUGGUCUCUGUUCCUGGGUUGUUACUUGUUACUGUUUUGGUAAUGGGUCUCUAUUGCCUUGCACAUUUUGAAUUAUUCGUUUUGCGUUGAGACUGGCAGUAUAUGUAUCAUAUUGUGAUUUGUUUCUUCCUUUCAUGGGUUGACUUUACUUAGGCAUUUGUUAUAAACAUGGAUCUACCAUGCUUCUCGCAGCUUCAGACAGAUGACUGUCAUUGUAACACAAGUUGAAUUUGCAGAAAUCUGAAGUAAAUUUAUAUCGUAACUUCUGGGAUUUUUUUUUGGUAUAAUUAUAUGUUUGUGCUUUCUAGCUACUAACGUCAUUUGGUUUCGUUUGUUUAUAAAUGCAUUAGUUGCACAUCGGGUUAUUGGUUGUGCUGACUUGAUCUGUGAUAUUAGGGAACAUAGAAUAUGGCAAAGAAGAAGAAUCCAUUGGUUUUUAUG
rnacentral:misc_RNA from 1 species